rnacentral:rRNA from 1 species
GAUGAACGCUAGCGAUAGGCUUAACACAUGCAAGUCGAGGGGCAUCACAUGAGUAGCAAUACGAUGGUGGCGACCGGCGCACGGGUGAGUAACACGUAUGCAACCUACCCAUAACUGGGGGAUAACCCGUCGAAAGGCGGACUAAUACCGCAUAACACUGUUUUUUUGCAUGAGAAGACAGUUAAAGAAAUUCGGUUAUGGAUGGGCAUGGGUUCCAUUAGGUAGUUGGUAAGGUAACGGCUUACCAAGCCUACGAUGGAUAGGGGUUCUGAGAGGAAGGUCCCCCACACUGGAACUGAGACACGGACCAGACUCCUACGGGAGGCAGCAGUGAGGAAUAUUGGUCAAUGGGCGGGAGCCUGAACCAGCCAAAUCGCGUGAAGGAUGAAGGUAUUAUGUAUUGUAAACUUCUUUUGUCAGGGAAUAAAGUGCAUCACGUGUGGUGUUUUGUAUGUACCUGAAGAAUAAGGAUCGGCUAACUCCGUGCCAGCCGCCGCCGUAACAC